rnacentral:rRNA from 1 species
GGAGAAGCUACUAAGAGCUUACGGUGGAUGCCUUGGCGUCAAGUGCCGAUGAAGGACGUGGGACACUGCGAUAAGCUCCGGUUAGCCGUGUACAGGCGUUUGACCCGGAGAUUUCCGAAUGGGGAAACCCAUUGUGGCGAACCCACAUUAUCCUCUUGUUGAAUAUAUAGACUUGAGGAAGGGAACCUGGGGAACUGAAACAUCUAAGUACCCAGAGGAAAAGAGAUCAUUCCCCUAGUAGUGGCGAGCGAACGGGGAUUAGCCCAAACCAGCCUGGCUUGCCAGGUUGGGGUUGUAGGAUCCAGCACAUGGAAGUUACAAAUCGAUCUGUUAGCAGAAUGGUAUGGGAAAGCCAACCAAAGAGGGUGAUAGUCCCGUAUGCGAAAAUGGAUCGACUUCCGCUGGACACCUGAGUACUGCCGGGCACGCUAAUCCGGUAGGAAGCUGGGGAGUCCACUCUCCAAGGCUAAAUACACUUGACGACCGAUAGUGAACAAGUACCGUGAGGGAAAGGUGAAAAGUCCCCCUGUUAGGGGAGUGAAAUAGAACCUGAAACCGUAAGCUUACAAGCAGUCGGAGGGCUAAUGGCGUGUCGGUGCCCCGGUGAAAGCCGGGCGCGCGGCGCUAUGCCUGACGGCGUGCCUCUUGGAGAAUGAGCCUGCGAGUUAAUCUCAGUGGCGAGGUUAAGGGAGUUACACCCGUAGCCGUAGCGAAAGCGAGUCUGAAUAGGGCGUUCAGUCGCUGGGAUUAGACACGAAACCAAGUGAGCUACCCAUGGUCAGGGUGAAGCGAGUCUAAACGCUCGUGGAGGCCCGAACCUUUCAACGUUGCAAAGUUGUGGGAUGAACUGUGGGUAGAGGUGAUAUGCCAAACGAACUUGGAGAUAGCUUGUUCUCCCCGAAAUAGCUUUAGGGCUAGCGUUAUGCGUUUAGUACCGGAGGUAGAGCACUGGAUGAGCUAGGGGGCUUACCGCUUACCGAACUCAACCAAACUCCGAAUGCCGGUACUCCAGAGCAUAGCAGUCGGACUCCGGGAGAUGAGUUUCGGGGUCGAAAGGGAAACAGCCCAGAUCAUCAGCUAAGGUCCUCAAAUCCAAGCUAAGUGGGAAACGAGGUGAGAUUACUUGAACAACCAGGAGGUUGGCUUAGAAGCAGCCACCCUUUAAAAAGUGCGUAAUAGCUUACUGGUCUAGUGAUCUUGCGCGGAAAACUUAACGGGGCUAAGCUUGGUACCGAAGCUAUGGGUCUCAGCGUAAGCUGGGGCAGUAGGGGAGCGUUCCGCCAGCGGUGAAGGUCGACCGUAAGGACGGCUGGAGUGGGCGGAAGUGAGAAUGCAGGCAUAAGUAGCGAAUAAACAUGUGAGAACCAUGUUCGCCGUAAAUCUAAGGUUUCCGACGCCAGGUCAAUCCGCGUCGGGUUAGUCGGCCCUUAGCCGAGGCCGAAAGGCGUAGGCGAUGGACAUCCGGUCAACAUUCCGGAACCACCUGAAUGGAGUGAUGAGGGGACGCAACGAGGUAGGCCAGCCUGCGAUUGGUAGUGCAGGUGCUAAGCGUCUAGGCGUUAAGGUUUGUAGGAAAAUCCGCAGACCGAGCUGAAGCGCGAUGGCGUGCCCUUGAGGUAGAAGUGGUUGAGCCUUGUUGCCAAGAAAAGCCUCUAAACGUUGAUAUUCAGGUGCCCGUACCGCAAUCCGACACCGGUAGAUGGGUAGAGUAUACCAAGGCGAACGGGAGAACUUUCGUUAAGGAACUCGGCAAAUUAGCCCCGUAACUUCGGGAUAAGGGGUGCCUUCUGACGUCAGGAUUUAUCCAAAGCGUUGGAAGGCCACAGUGAAAUGGCUCUAGUGACUGGUUAUCAAAACCACAGGUCUCUGCUAAGUCGUAAGACGAUGUAUAGGGGCUGACACCUGCCCAGUGCCGGAAGGUUAAAGGGAGAGGUUAGCGUAAGCGAAGCUUUGAACUGAAGCCCCGGUGAACGGCGGCCGUAACUAUAACGGUCCUAAGGUAGCGAAAUUCCUUGUCGGGUAAGUUCCGACCCGCACGAACGGUGUAACAACUAGAGCACUGUCUCAACGAAAGACCCGGUGAAAUUGAAAUGGCUGUGAAGAUGCGGCCUACCCGCAGCAGGACAAAAAGACCCCGUGGAGCUUUACUGCAACUUGGCAUUGAGUUUGGGUAUGAUUUGUGUAGAAUAGGUGGGAGGCUAUGAAGCUGGAGCGCUAGCUUCGGUGGAGCCAUCAGUGAAAUACCACCCUGAUAAUACUUAGACCCUAACCCCAUUCCGUAAUCCGGAUGGGGAACCGUGCCAGGUGGGCAGUUUGACUGGGGCGGUCGCCUCCUAAAAGGUAACGGAGGCGCCCAAAGGUUCCCUCAGGCAGAAUGGAAACCUGCCAUAGAGUGCAAAGGCAUAAGGGAGCUUGACUGCAAGACCAACGCGUCGAGCAGAUACGAAAGUAGGGCUUAGUGAUCCCACGAAUCUGUGUGGAAAGGUCGUGGCUAACGGAUAAAAGCUACCCCGGGGAUAACAGGCUGGUGAAGUCCAAGAGUCCAUAUCGACGACUUCGCUCGGCACCUCGAUGUCGGCUCAUCGCAUCCUGGGGCUGUAUAAGGUCCCAAGGGUCGGGCUGUUCGCCCGUUAAAGCGGUACGCGAGCUGGGUUCAGACCGUCGUGAGACAGGUCGGUCUCUAUCCGCUGUGGGCGUAAGGGAUUUGAGAGGAGCUGCUCCUAGUACGAGAGGACCGGAGUGGACAGACCUCUGGUGUGCCAGUUGUCGUGCCAACGGCAUUGCUGGGUAGCUACGUCUGGCAGAGAUAACCGCUGAAAGCAUCUAAGUGGGAAACUCGCCUCAAGAUAAGAUCCCUGUAUCCUUUUUGGAGUAAGACCGCAGGUAGACCACCUGUUAUAUAGGCAGCAUGUGUAAGCGCAGUAAUGUGUUAAGCUAAGCUGUACUAAUGGUCGAGGGCUGAUCCGC